rnacentral:rRNA from 1 species
CCUACGGGAGGCUGCAGUGGGGAAUAUUGGACAAUGGGCGCAAGCCUGAUCCAGCCAUGCCGCGUGAGUGAUGAAGGCCUUAGGGUUGUAAAGCUCUUUUGCCGGGGACGAUAAUGACGGUACCCGGAGAAUAAGUCCCGGCUAACUUCGUGCCAGCAGCCGCGGUAAUACGAAGGGGACUAGCGUUGUUCGGAAUCACUGGGCGUAAAGCGCACGUAGGCGGAUCAUUUAGUCAGGGGUGAAAUCCCGGGGCUCAACCUCGGAACUGCCUUUGAUACUGAUGGUCUCGAGUCCGAUAGAGGUGGGUAGAAUUCCUAGUGUAGAGGUGAAAUUCGUAGAUAUUAGGAAGAAUACCGGUGGCGAAGGCGGCCCACUGGAUCGGUACUGACGCUGAGGUGCGAAAGCGUGGGGAGCAAACAGGAUUAGAUACCCCUGUAGUC